GUGUUUGUAGCUUAACUGGAAUAAAGCACCAAACUACGAAUUUGACGAUUGGAAGUUCGAAUCUUUCCAAACACAC
rnacentral:tRNA from 1 species